rnacentral:rRNA from 1 species
CAGUCGCCACGGUAAAACGGAGGGAGCUAGCGUUGUUCGGAAUCACUGGGCGUAAAGCGCGCGUAGGCGGCUAUUCAAGUCAGGGGUGAAAGCCCGGGGCUCAACCCCGGAACUGCCUUUGAAACUAGAUAGCUUGAAUCUUGGAGAGGCGAGUGGAAUUCCGAGUGUAGAGGUGAAAUUCGUAGAUAUUCGGAAGAACACCAGUGGCGAAGGCGACUCGCUGGACAAGUAUUGACGCUGAGGUGCGAAAGCGUGGGGAGCAAACAGGAUUAGAUACCCCAGUAGUCCCUGUCUCUUAUAC